UNGGCUUGAUGGCAUAGACUAGUAAUCCUA
rnacentral:piRNA from 1 species